UUUACUUUUUUUGUGUGUUUUGAGCGAGUUUUGUUCGGUCGCAGUUUAUUUUAUGGCAGCUUUCAAAGUUUUUACUCAUCGCCGGACAGCUGAAGUUGCUGCUCCUCUUGAGGUGGCAAUAAAAUAAAUGGCAGCACUUUCGGUUUUACACACACACACACACACACACGCAGACACCGGGCUACCUGUGCAAAAAGGCAAUUUGGAAAGGUGGAAACGUGGAAACGUGGAAAAGCGAAGCCUGCAAUGGCCAUAUAUCAAAAGGCGAAAGAGUAAAGCACAUAAAACCAGCCAAACUAAACGAACGUGAGAUGUGCAGAGAUCGGACCAACAGGACAGCGGGAUUUGCUGGCGGCAAGUUGGUUAGCGGCAAAUAUUUGUGGUACUUCCAGUUGGCCACUGAGUGGUUUAUGACUUCUUGGGGCCGUCCCAAAUCAGUGGCUCAUGCUAAACCGUAGGACCCCGGCACUAAAAUCCAGCCCCUGCACCGCACAAAAUAGCAGCCAAUACUUAAAUAGUUUCCACUUUGAAGGGUCUUGGAAUUCCAUGGCGUUUAGUACACCUGCGAAAAGUGUCAGGUCUGUUGUCCUGAAGAUUUAAACCAGCUUCUCAUACAUUACCAUGAGUCACAAUUUGACUGCAUCUAUAAAGCUUUCUUUCUUUCUGUGUGGGAUGUGGGGUCUCAGGUGAAACGCUUAACGUGAAUGCCUCAUCUCAUUGUUGAAAGUAUUGACAACAUUGUAGUUGGCAAAGGAGGGCGAGAAAGGCAUAAACCAACGCAUGAGAGGGUGCGAAAAUGUAAUUUCUAAAAGGAUUACCGAAAGCCUUAAAGCAAAUCCUGGCGACAGGAGAGCCGAAGGAGCUGGUGACAUGAAAAAUGAAUUGCAAGCCACGACAAAAAAGGCGAGUUUUCAUUUUCCAAACACACACACAACCACACACACACUCGCACACGUGGAGUCAUCGUCUCGGCGGCGCAAAAAUAUGUGAAAAAUGAACGGAAAUGCCGCAGCGGCAAAGCGGAAAUGAAAAAUGCACACAAACACACACACACACAUACUCAUGAAUGCGAGUACCCCGGAAAAUGGCGGCUACCUCAGCGCUGGAAGAGCCAAAAUCAGAGAGCAAUGGAAAACGGGAAAAACAAGAGGAACAAGGGGGACUGGGAAUGGAAAUGGAAUGGCAAAGUCCCACCAAAACCGAAGGAAAGUCAGUCGUUGAGAAAGUCAGACUCGGCGAGUACAUUGUAAUUAAUGAUGAGGCAUAAAGCGCAUAAUCGAGAUGCUGGGGUCGUUCGCACAGAUGGAUUUUCCAUGUGAAUACAUAAAUAGCACAUUGGGGUAAAAAACCAGGAAGUGACUUUAAGCUGCCAUCGGAUAAAACCUAACCGUUGUAGGAAAACCAAACCACUUGGGCAGCAACAAACCGCAAGUUUGAUCAAGAACAUCUUCUACUUAAGUCAUUUUCAGGCAUUUUCCGCAUUCAGUUUAAUUGAAAAUCUAUGUUCGCACAUAGUGUACGGCUAAACAAAGCCGAUUACAUUUAUUUCACACCACAAACCUAAUGGCAAGGUCAGAACCCGAGAACGUUUACAGGAAAACAAAAGACAUAGCUGGUCAAUAAAACUCUUUAACUACCUGCUCAGGGCGAACUCUAAUCUUCAGUCAAUGAUUAACCCAAGAAAUCUAUCCGUACACCCAACUCCGUGUCCAUUCAUUCACCUGCUCUAAUGAAUUAGCAAGCCCAAUUCAAACAGGGCCCAACCAGAAAAAAACGGAGGGGAAUAAGCCGGGAAAACGAGUGCGGAGGAGGCAAAGGUUGUGGCGGGGGUGAGGGAUGGCCACACGCAAGCGUCUUCCUAAUUAUUCACAAUGAAUGAAUGAAUGAAGUGGAGAGGUGAUGGUGAGGGUGCGGGUGUGCUAGAACAUUUUGACACCUUUAUGGCUCAAUAAAUUGGACCGAAUGCAAGGAACUCCGGGCACGCCAGUUCAUUAGAAACUCACACGGGGAUUUUGAUAUCGCCUCUGAUUACGGCUAAGAUGACGAGGCUACGGGGCCACUCGUAGCUCAUUCCCAUGGCAUUGUGCAGUAGGAAAAAAAUCGCAUUCCGGCCAUAAAUUACAUUUUCAGAGUCUUUCAUACGAAAAUAUAUUUUAUGCAGAACAUUUCAGCUGGUUGUCGUUCUCUACACGGAUUAAUCAUAACCUUUGCAUUCAUAUUGCAGAGCAACAUUAAAUGAUUCGAAUGUUUAUUAAUUAUUCCUUACUGCCAUAGUUAAUAAAUAUAUAAUGGGGCAAGCUUUUUUCAUUGUGUAUGCAAACUGGCAAUGUGGGCACGUAAAGUUUACAGUUACCCAAGCACUGGACUCGUUAGUGCUCGGAUACUGUGUUAUAGUUGAAAGCGACGACCAGACGAAGGGAGCAGCUCCUGCCCCCGAGUUGGGUGGCACUGACUGGGGGAGUCCAGGGAUCCUUGAAGCCACCGAUGCCGAUGCUGAUGGCGGCGGUGGCGGUGGCGUCGUCGACUGCUUAUGAAUAAUGUUUUCAUUUUUAGACCGGCAAAUUUGUCCUCGUCUAUGGCACGCAAUUGCAUGUUAAGUGCAUAUGAUUCCCGCGCACUGUUUCCUCAUUUCCACUUGGCCAAAACCCUCGGUCCUCAGUCAGCCUCGAGUAAUACGCGAAAAUUACUGGUUGUAAUGUAACAGGCACUUUUGCUUCCUUCUUUUUAAUGACAUCCCACAAACGCGACAUGGUUCCAUGGGUCGUGGGUCUAAGUGAUUAGCACCGCAGACCAGGACAAACAUUAGAAACUGGCUUCAUUUAUAUUAAUUAAUGUCGUCUGCACUGAGUUGCUGUUAAGUUAAACUUUCGAGAUGACUUUUGAAACUUUAAACUAAUGCUAAGGUCUGGAAGCUGGUGGUAUUCCAAAGGCAUCUCAAGAUAAUUUUCUACGUCAUUUUGUAGGUGAUCAAAAUUUAUAUGAAUAUAUGAACCGCUAUGAAUCAUAUGAAUGCGUACUAAUGCAUGUGGCAUUUAUUUGAAUUGUGCACAAUGCUUUAUCAACUUUUAACAACGAAUGCAAGUGCACUUUGCUAUGACACGCAAGCCCCAAAGUAUGCAACAGUUUCUGAGUGAGUGCGGCAUUGAAUUUUCACACAAUCAGAAACCAGUUUGAACGCAUCCGCUUCCGUUAUUGCAUGGCGGUUUGCAUUUUUGAGUUAAAAGCGUGCGCUUUUUUGCAAUUUGAUUUGUAGCCUAAACUCACAGCACUUUUUGACACCAGUUGGUUGCGAAAUUCCGCGACAGCGGUAGAUUUUGUUGCAGCCUGGCAUUUGACAGAAUGACAAACGCAUAACUAUAAAAAUGCAUUCCCUGCGCGACCACAUCAACUUUCAAUUAAAGCGCGAACUAGCCAGCUGCAUUUAAAGUGCAUUUUGAAAGCGGAACCUGCAUUAUGGAUAAGAUGAAGCCCAGCAUAACAAAACUCUCGAGACUUUCGACGACAUCAGCCGCAGAUGACGACCUGAGGGCCAUCCGCUGUUUAAAAUGCUCUCGAGAACGACAAAGUUUCAGUUUCCACUGCAGUUGCACUGCAA